rnacentral:tRNA from 1 species
GCACCAGUGGUGUAGCGGUAACACAUUGCAUUCGGACGUGAAGAAGAGUGGUUCGAUUCCCUCCUGGUGCA